GAUGAACGCUAGCGGCAGGCCUAAUACAUGCAAGUCGAGGGAGAAUGUUGGAUUCGUCUGACAUGAAACCGGCGCACGGGUGCGUAACACGUAUGCAACCUACCUUUAACUGGGGUAUAGCUCAGAGAAAUCUGAAUUAAUCCCCCAUAAGACUACGACAUGGCAUCAUGAUGUAGUUAAAGCUCCGGCGGUUAAGGAUGGGCAUGCGGUACAUUAGCUAGUUGGUGAGGUAAUGGCUCACCAAGGCUACGAUGUAUAGGGGGUCUGAGAGGAGGAACCCCCACACUGGUACUGAGACACGGACCAGACUCCUACGGGAGGCAGCAGUAGGGAAUAUUGGUCAAGGGACGCAAGGCUGAACCAGCCAUGCCGCGUGAAGGAUGAAGGCCCUAUGGGUCGUAAACUUCUUUUAUUAGGGAAGAAAAAUCGGGAUGCGUCCUGUACUGACGGUACUUAAUGAAUAAGGAUCGGCGAACUUCGUGCCAGCCGCCGCCGUAA
rnacentral:rRNA from 1 species